UUAUGGCUAUUCCUCUUCUUCCUUGGAGCCUUAGGUAGUGGGAAUUUGGUCCAUCAUAUAUCUAAGCUAACUUGUCUUCAGUCAGAGCACCAUGGGGAUGGGUUGGCUGUUCAUUAGUGCCUUCUGAUUUUUGCAGAUUGAAACAAUU